UUUGAAAAAGCAGAACUCCGGUCGACGCUGUUUUGCUCUGUUCUUUUCUUUUUUGCUGAUUGUACUUUAAUAAAAGACACUUUGAGUAAAGAAUCUCAAAGAUUAUUUUUCCUCUCCUCCUCCUCCUGCUGCAAGGUUUCACUCUGAAGAAUGGAAGGUCUCUACGUUACCAGCAGCUCACAGGACCAAAGCUACGAUUACAGCAGCACCACCUUCAACUACCAGGAUUACAAUGAGCACUAUGAGUAUCUCAAAAAACUUCGUCUCAUCUUAAAUGUGGUCACAUGCAUAAUCAUUGCUGUCGGCCUUCCUCUGACCCUGGUGGCCAUCUAUGCUCUUUAUUCUAUGGUGAGAAGUGAUCAAGUUGCUCCCAUCUACCUCAUCAACCUCCUUGUUUCCGAUAUCCUUCAGUUCUGCUGCAUCAUUUUUCAGGUCGCACCAGAUGUGGAUUGGAAGAUAAUAAGAUCUUCAAUGAUAUUUACGACUCUGCUCUAUUUGCCAGUGUUACUUCAUGGUCUGCAUCGCCCUGGAA